GCCAAAGUGGCUCCUGAAGGAGAGCUCCGUCUCUAGGAAAGCUCGUGCACCUGAAGCUGGAGAUGUCUUGCCUCACCAGCAAGCGGUUUAAAGGUCUUCUAAACCUCUAACACUGUUUAGAGGUCUUCUAAAAUGGGUUCUCCAGACCCGAAAAUUGGUGAACAUCUUGACAUGGAAAACAGAUGCUGGACCUCACUGAAAACAGUCAUUGCAUUUAGGAACAUGCAUUCAUACACUCCCACACUCCAGGCUUCAGCUUACAGUGCAUUGUGUUUCUUGAUUGCAUCUUUUGUAUGUUGGUCUUUGUGAGACUUCACAAAUGAAACCUCUUGCUGUGAGAUUUCCUACAAAUCUCAACCUUAAAUCACUUCUGUUAAUGAACCAUAGGGUGAAACUCCCCUACCAAUCCUGCAGCUAUGAAGCAACAAACCCUGUCUGGCACAGUGAAUCAUAAUACUUAGCUUCUGUAGAGAUAACUCUAAAAAGAGAGAUGUAAAAGUCAGAAUCACAUUUAUAGACAUUUCCUUCUCCUGCUUCUCCAACUGCACUGUGUGAAAUGAUUUAAGGUCAAAUCCUCACCAGGCAAAACAGUGCAUGCUAGUGCAGCAUGAAACCACCAUCCUUAUUAUCACAGGACCCACUUACAGUGGAAAAAAAUGAAAAAUUUCAGUAAGCACAGCUUUAUCAGAAAAAGAACAACUAAUUCUAAGAACAUUCACGGCUGAGUGCUGCUGCUCUAAAGAUGAUAACAAUGCCUCAAGAGAAGCAAUACCUCCUUGGAUCAGUUCAUUGUCUCCCUUAUCUGUUACUUCAAAUAUCUUGUUAUUUACUGUCAAAUAUUACCAUUUCUUUUCAGCCAACUAAAAAUUAACUGAAGAGUGGUUCUUGCAACCAGUAAGAGUAAGUACACUUACAAAUGAAAAGUUAGCAAUAAAACUCUCAAAAAUGUGGAAGUCAUCAUUAUUCUGAGGGUUUACAAAGGAACAACUUCUGCUAAUUGAUUUUUACUGUACUCUUAGCUAUAAUGGAUUCACUGGCUUUUUUUUUUCCCUUCUGUGAACUCUUUGCUCUCAAUUCUUCUGUGUUUCAUGGGAUCUGUGUGGAUGUGAAGAGCAUGCACAGCCCUGGCUGAGUGCUUACAUACACUAGCAGUACACAUGAAAGAAGCAAUGAACUGUGCCCACCAGCUUCCCCUGACUCUGUUGCAGAAGUCAUAAUUUUUUUAAUGUCAGCAGAAAAUGGUGUUUGGGGCAGAAUAAUAAAUUCUUCAACUUUGUGACUUAGAACUGAAACAUGAUUUAUUAAGGGCUUCAUCCAUGUUUCAGAUUUAUAGCCAAUUUUUUCCACUCCAAUUUUCUGAAAAUUUGGUGUCUGAGAACAAACUUCAGGUCCCCUCCUGAUCUGAUGUUAAUUAUUCAUAACUGGUUGGAGUGCUCUAGAAGGAGCCUGGGCAUUGCUACACCACUGUCUAUGCCAAGAGCUGAGGAGAGGGGUUCUGGCUCUGACAUUUCAUGGCAAAAGAUGACAAACAUCUGCCAGCUCCACCACCAGUUUGAAAUGUGCUGGAACAUCUCAUCUGUAUCCUUCCCCAAGCUGUUGUCUUGCCACCUCACACACACACCAACAUUGGCAUACCUAGCUGCUGUGUCAGCUGGGGCCCCCAAGAGGACCGACACACCCCACCCAAGCUCAGGACCUUCUCUUACACUCUCCAAGAACCAUGCACUGUUUCCAGACCUGUGGGUUAGUGUCUCUGACUUGUACAAAGAAAUAAAGGAAGGCUGAAGCUCAGACACUGCAAACUCAAGAUAGCCAGUGGAGGUACCAGGAUGUUUCAAAGGAUCUGCUGCUUCAAAUCCUCUCCUGUCUUGCUAUGAUCCACACCAUACAGUAAGAAUGAGCAGCAGUAACAUCCUCAGUUCAAUCACUGCUCAUUCAGGGGAAUGGCCUUGUUAACAAAUUAUUUUUGCAACAAUAUGUAAAAUUAUUGUAGAUUACAUUCA